rnacentral:tRNA from 1 species
GUUAAUGUAGCUUAAAUUACUAAAGCAAAGCACUGAAAAUGCUUAGAUGGGUUUCUAACCCCAUAAACA